GGGGAUUUAGCUCAGUGGUAGAGCGUUUGCCUAGAGCGCUUGCAAGCACAAGGCCCUGGGUUCGGUCCCCAGCUCCG
rnacentral:tRNA from 1 species